AAUAUGUGGCAUACGGCUCAGUAACACGUAGUCAACAUGCCCAGGGGACGUGGAUAACCUCGGGAAACUGAGGAUAAACCGCGAUAAGUCACUACUUCUGGAAUGGGUAAUGACUUAAAUCUAUAUGGCCCCUGGAUUGGACUGCGGCCGAUCAGGCUGUUGGUGAGGUAAUGGCCCACCAAACCUGUAACCGGUACGGGCUCUGAGAGGAGGAGCCCGGAGAUGGGCACUGAGACAAGGGCCCAGGCCCUAUGGGGCGCAGCAGGCGCGAAACCUCUGCAAUAGGCGAAAGCCUGACAGGGUUACUCUGAGUGAUUUCCGUUAAGGAGAUCUUUUGGCACCUCUAAAAAUGGUGCAGAAUAAGGGGUGGGCAAGUCUGGUGUCAGCCGCCGCGGUAAUACCAGCACCCCGAGUGGUCGGGACGUUUAUUGGGCCUAAAGCAUCCGUAGCCGGUUCUGCAAGUCUUCCGUUAAAUCCACCUGCUUAACAGAUGGGCUGCGGAAGAUACUAUAGAGCUAGGAGGCGGGAGAGGCAAGCGGUACUCGAUGGGUAGGGGUAAAAUCCGUUGAUCCAUUGAAGACCACCAGUGGCGAAGGCGGCUUGCCAGAACGCGCUCGACGGUGAGGGAUGAAAGCUGGGGGAGCAAACCGGAUUAGAUACCCGGGUAGUCCCAGCUGUAAAC
rnacentral:rRNA from 1 species